AGUUGAUCGUGUUUUUUUUCAUUAUCAUCUUCAAAGAAGAGUGUGCGAAACACGAUGCAAAGUGUCGAUAAAGCACACGAAACACGCGAGGUAGAUUUGUCUGCAGCCCCAAGAGGUGUAUGGCUUGUAAAGGUUCCUAAGUAUCUGUCGGAAAGAUGGCAGAAGGCGCAAGGAGGCAGUGAGGUGGGCAAGCUGCGGAUCACACGACCAAAAAGUCCUGGCCUAAAGCCUGAUGUCAUGUUCUCCUCCCACGAAACAAUGAUGAAAGUCGAACCUGGACAAGCACAGGCGCCACGAGACCAUAAGUUUGUUCUCACUGGCGUCGGUGUUCAGAAUCUGGUGGUCAUGUCACAGACACCCAUAUUUGCUAAAGAUGGAAAUGGUGCAACAAAGGAAAAGGUUGCAGAGAGGGUGGCAGUAGAAGGCAAGGUGCUCCAGCGAGCAGAGUGUCGACCUAUCGCUGAUGACAACUACAACAAACUCAAGAGACUUCACUGGGAGAUCCAGAACAAACCCAAGAGGGAGGUGAUCCAGCUUAGCGGAGUGGUCCAGUCCUACAAACCCCGGAGUGCCUACGCUUCCCUGGAUGGCGAUAAACGUAAAAAGGAGGAGAGCAAGAGGUCAAGGUUAGAUCGUGAGAAGGUGCAGGACAUGCUCUUCAAUGCAUUCGAGAAACAUCAGUACUACAACGUCAAGGACCUUGUCAAGAUCACCAACCAACCAGUGCCAUACCUGAAGGAGAUCCUGAAGGAGAUCUGCACGUACAACAUGAAGGCGCCGCAUCGCAACAUGUGGGAGCUGAAACCAGAGUACCGACAUUACAAGGAACAGAACACCUCAUAGCACUAGCUGCUGGACAACGUCCAUAUUUAUGUAACUGACCCUUGGAGAUAUCCUGGGGGUAUAGGCACGACCCCAUGCUUGUCCCAUGGGUACAUUAGGAGGGUGCCAUCUCUGCCCAUGCUUGUCCCAUGGGUACAUUAGGGGGGUGCCAUCUCUGCCAAUGCUUGUCCCAUGGGUACAUUAGGGGAGUGCCAUCUCUGCCAAUGCUUGUCCCAUGGGUACAUUAGGGGAGUGCCAUCUCUGCCCAUGCUUGUCCCAUGGGUACAUUAGGAGUGCCAUCUCUGCCCAUGCUUGUCCCAUGGGUACAUUAGGGGGGUGCCAUCUCUGCCCAUGCUUGUCCCAUGGGUACAUUAUAGGAGUGCCAUCUCUGCCAAUGCUUGUCCCAUGGGUACAUUAGGGGUGCUAUCUCCGCCCAUGCUUGUCCCAUGGGUACAUUAGGGGAGUGCAAUCUCUGCCCAUGCUUGUCCCAAGGGUACAUUAGGGGGGGAUGCCAUCUCUGCCCAUGCUUGUCCCAUGGGUACAUUAGGGGGGGGGGUCGUCUCUGCCCAUGCUUGUCCCAUGGGUACAUUGGGGGAGUGCCAUCUCUGCCCAUGCUUGUCCCAUGGGUACAUUAGGGGAGUGCCAUCUCUGCCCAUGGCUGUCCCAUGGGUACAUUAGGGGGGUGCCAUCUGUGCCCAUGCUUGUCCCAUGGGUACAUUAGGAGUGCCACCUCUGCCCAUGGGUACAUAAGGGGUGCCAUCUGUGCCCAUGCUUGUCCCAUGGGUACAUUAGGAGUGCCAUCUCUGCCCAUGGGUACAUAAGGGGUGCCAUCUCUGCGCAUGCUUGUCCCACGGGUACAUAAGCGCUGUCAUCUCUGCCCAUGCUUGUCCCAAGGGUACAUUAGGUAGCUGCCAUCUCUGCCCAUGCUUGUCCCAAGGGUACAUUAGGGGAGUGCCAUCUCUGCCCAUGCUUGUCCCAUGGGGACAUUAGGGGUGCCAUCAACUCCCAUGCUUGUCCCAUGGGUACAUUAGGGGCUGUGACAUCUCUGCCCAUGCUUGUCCCAUGGGGACAUUAGGAGUGCCAUCUCUGCCCAUGGGUACAUAAGGGGUGCUAUCUCUGCCCAUGCUUGUCCAAUGGGUACAUUAGGGGAGUGCCAUCUCUGCCCAUGCUUGUCCCAAGGGUACAUUAGGGGAGUGCCAUCUCUGCCCAUGGGUACAUUAGGGGGGUGCCAUCUGUGCCCAUGCUUGUCCCAUGGGUACAUUAGGGGACUGCCAUCUGUGCCCAUGCUUGUCCCAUGGGUACAUUAGGAGUGCCAUCUCUGCCCAUGCUUGUCCCAUGGGUACAUUAGGAGUGCCAUCUCUGCCCAUGCUUGUCCCAAGGGUACAUUAGGGGACUGCCAUCUCUGCCCAUGCUUGUCCCAUGGGUACAUUAGGAGUGUCAUCUCUGCCCAUGCUUGUCCCAUGGGUACAUAAGGAGUGCCAUCUCUGCCCAUGCUUGUCCCACGGGUACAUAAGCGCUGUCAUCUCUGCCCAUGCUUGUCCCAUGGGUACAUUAGGUGGCUGCCAUCUCUGCCCAUGCUUGUCCCAUGGGUACAUUAGGGGGGUGCCAUCUCUGCCCAUGCUUGUCCCAUGGGUACAUUAGGGGAGUGCCAUCUCUGCCCAUGCUUGUCCCAUGGGUACAUUAGGGGAGUGCCAUCUCUGCCCAUGCUUGUCCCAUGGGUACAUUAGGGGAGUGCCAUCUCUGCCCAUGCUUGUCCCAUGGGUACAUUAGGGGAGUGCCAUCUCUGCCCAUGCUUGUCCCAUGGGUACAUUAGGGGAGUGCCAUCUCUGCCCAUGCUUGUCCCAUGGGUACAUUAGGGGAGUGCCAUCUCUGCCCAUGCUUGUCCCAUGGGUACAUUAGGGGAGUGCCAUCUCUGCCCAUGCUUGUCCCAUGGGUACAUUAGGGGAGUGCCAUCUCUGCCCAUGCUUGUCCCAUGGGUACAUUAGGGGAGUGCCAUCUCUGCCCAUGCUUGUCCCAUGGGUACAUUAGGGGGGUGCCAUCUCUGCCAAUGCUUGUCCCAUGGGUACAUUAGGGGAGUGCCAUCUCUGCCCAUGCUUGUCCCAUGGGUACACUAGGGGGGUGCCAUCUCUGCCCAUGCUUGUCCCAUGGGUACAUUAGGGGAGUGCCAUCUCUGCCCAUGCUUGUCCCACGGGUAUAUUAGGGGAGUGCCAUCUCUGCCCAUGCUUGUCCCAUGGGUACAUUAGGGGGAUGCCAUCUCUGCCCAUGCUUGUCCCAUGGGUACAUUAGGGGAGUGCCAUCUCUGCCCAUGCUUGUCCCAUGGGUACAUUAGGAGUGCCAUCUCUGCCCAUGCUUGUCCCACGGGUACAUAAGCGCUGUCAUCUCUGCCCAUGCUUGUCCCACGGGUACAUAAGCGCUGUCAUCUCUGCCCAUGCUUGUCCCAUGGGUACAUUAGGGGUGUGCCAUCUCUGCCCAUGCUUGUCCCAUGGGUACAUAAGGAGUGCCAUCUCCGCCCAUGCUUGUCCCAUGGGUACAUUAGGAGUGCCAUCUCUGCCCAUGCUUGUCCCAUGGGUACAUUAGGGGAGUGCCAUCUCUGCCCAUGCUUGUCCCAUGGGUACAUUAGGGGAGUGCCAUCUCUGCCCAUGCUUGUCCCAUGGGUACAUUAGGGGAGUGCCAUCUCUGCCCAUGCUUGUCCCAUGGGUACAUUAGGGGAGUGCCAUCUCUGCCCAUGCUUGUCCCAUGGGUACAUUAGGGGAGUGCCAUCUCUGCCCAUGCUUGUCCCAUGGGUACAUUAGGGGAGUGCCAUCUCUGCCCAUGCUUGUCCCAUGGGUACAUUAGGGGAGUGCCAUCUCUGCCCAUGCUUGUCCCAUGGGUACAUUAGGGGAGUGCCAUCUCUGCCCAUGCUUGUCCCAUGGGUACAUUAGGGGGGUGCCAUCUCUGCCAAUGCUUGUCCCAUGGGUACAUUAGGGGAGUGCCAUCUCUGCCCAUGCUUGUCCCAUGGGUACACUAGGGGGGUGCCAUCUCUGCCCAUGCUUGUCCCAUGGGUACAUUAGGGGAGUGCCAUCUCUGCCCAUGCUUGUCCCACGGGUAUAUUAGGGGAGUGCCAUCUCUGCCCAUGCUUGUCCCAUGGGUACAUUAGGGGGAUGCCAUCUCUGCCCAUGCUUGUCCCAUGGGUACAUUAGGGGAGUGCCAUCUCUGCCCAUGCUUGUCCCAUGGGUACAUUAGGAGUGCCAUCUCUGCCCAUGCUUGUCCCACGGGUACAUAAGCGCUGUCAUCUCUGCCCAUGCUUGUCCCACGGGUACAUAAGCGCUGUCAUCUCUGCCCAUGCUUGUCCCAUGGGUACAUUAGGGUUGUGCCAUCUCUGCCCAUGCUUGUCCCAUGGGUACAUAAGGAGUGCCAUCUCUGCCCAUGCUUGUCCCAUGGGUACAUUAGGAGUGCCAUCUCUGCCCAUGCUUGUCCCACGGGUACAUAAGCGCUGUCAUCUCUGCCCAUGCUUGUCCCAUGGGUACAUAAGGGGUGCCAUCUCUGCCCAUGCUUGUCCCAUGGGUACAUUAGGGGAGUGCCAUCUCUGCCCAUGCUUGUCCCAUGGGUACAUUAGGGGAGUGCCAUCUCUGCCCAUGCUUGUCCCAUGGGUACAUUAGGGGAGUGCCAUCUCUGCCCAUGCUUGUCCCAUGGGUACAUUAGGGGAGUGCCAUCUCUGCCCAUGCUUGUCCCAUGGGUACAUUAGGGGGAUGCCAUCUCUGCCCAUGCUUGUCCCAUGGUUACAUUAGGGCUGCCAUCUCUGCCCAUGCUUGUCCCAUGGGUACAUUAGGGGAGUGCCAUCUCUGCCCAUGCUUGUCCCAUGGGUACAUUAGGGGAGUGCCAUCUCUGCCCAUGCUUGUCCCAUGGGUACAUUAGGGGGAUGCCAUCUCUGCCCAUGCUUGUCCCAUGGGUACAUUAGGGCUGCCAUCUCUGCCCAUGCUUGUCCCAUGGGUACAUUAGGGAUGCCAUCUUCGCCCAUGCUUGUCCCAUGGGUACAUUAGGGGGGUGCCAAUUCUUUCCAUGCUUGCCCAAAUGGGGAUUCAAGGGUAGAAUAGGUGCCCAAUGUGUGUGCUAUAAGUUCUUUUUCUGCUUUGACACUGUUGGUUGCAUGUAUCAUUGUACAGACUGUCAACCACUGCUUACCCUUUUGAUCUCGGUGGCCAAGUGAUCUUAGGUGCUGAGGUCAAUGUGCAGAGUUGCCUCCCUUACACAUGACAGGAACCUAUGAUCGUGGGUUUGAAUCUCAACUCGAUCUCAUUGUGGUUGCAGCAUAUGAAUUCAACAUGUUCAACCCGCAGGAUGUUUUUAUGGCAAAUAGUUUAAAUCAAAUAAAGUAAUAAAAUUAGACAAGUGAACAAUUACAGAAAUAGAGAAUCUCACCCAAGUGUUUUUUCAUAUCAAAUAUAUCAACACCAGUUGAUAAAAGUGGGAAAACUCUGAGGCUUGCCGAGGAUUUUUUCCACUUU
rnacentral:misc_RNA from 1 species